GUGGGUGUGGCUCAGUUGGUUAGAGCGCUAGGUUGUGGCCCUGGAGACCGUGGGUUCGAGUCCCACCACUCACC
rnacentral:tRNA from 1 species